rnacentral:SRP_RNA from 1 species
GCCGGGCAUGGUGGUUCAUGCCUGUAAUCCCAGCAUUUUGGGAGGCCGAGGCAGGUGGAUCACUUGAGGCCAGGAGUUCAAGACCAGCCUGGCCAACAUGGUGAAACCCUGUCUCUA